rnacentral:lncRNA from 10 species
UGAGAUGGUGUCUCACCCUGUUGCCCAGGCUGGAAUACAGUGGCACGAUCCUGGCUCACUGCAAUCUCCAUCUCCCGGGUUCAAGCGAUUCUCCUGCCUCAGCCUCUCAAGUAGCUGGGAUUACAGGGCUUCAGAAGCUGAUGGCAUAGUUAUGAGAGGGGUGAAGACUGCGACUGCAUUUCCAACAGACCCUGAGGACAAUUGGGAAGAAUAUUCAAGAUCUUGCAAAAUCUGAGAUCUGCUCAACUCUCAACUCUUCUUUCCAAAUGAAUGCUUCCUAUCUGCCAGGAGGAGCAGUGUCAACAGUCCUAGCCAGCUGUUGCUGAAGGGCCCAACACCAAAUCCCAGCUGAAGAACAGCUUCUCAUCUUUUGAGACACAGCACAGGGUGAUGGGCAUGGAGCUCUUCCACACUCCCCACAGUCUGACUUAGCUCUCUCCGUUGUGCCCUCCUGGCACCCUGCUCGUAUUUUAUUGUGGCACCUAUAUCGCUGGAUCUCACUCACUGGUUUGCACUCCUGUAUCCCCUUUGAGGGAACAAAUCCCAUGCCUCUGCAAUCCCAGGAUCUGAUACUGAGAUAGACACUAAACAGAUAUUUAAAAAUUUUUGAUAAUCAAUGAAUGGACAAGGAGAAUAAAUAAUAUGAAAGAUGAAAUAAAGAAAUAAAAGUAUUAAUGAGAGUAUAAACAUAUCCAGAUUGGGCUGGGUGCGAUGGCUCAUGCCUAUAAUCCCAGCACUUUGGGAGGCUGAGGUGGGAGGAUCACUUGAGGUCAAGAGUUCGAGAGCAGCCUGGCCAACAUGGCGAAACCCUGUCUCUGCUAGAGAUACAAAAAUUAGCUGGGUGUGGUGGUGUGUGCUUGUAAUCCCAGCUACUUGGGAGGCUGAGGCAGGAGAAUCACUUGAACCUGGGAGGCGGAAGCUGCAGUGAGCUGAAAUUGCACCAGCCUGGGUGACACAGUGAGACUCUGUCUCAAAACAAAACAAAACAACAACAACAAAAAAAAAAAAAAAAGAAAGAAAGAAAAAAAGAAAUCCAGAUAGACUAUUAUGUCUUACUGUUCUUUUUCAUUCAUACCAAAUGGGAAAGAAUUUCCUGUCAAUGCUGGCAGUCUCUGGCUAUCAUGUGGCAGCAUCCGGGAAGGACCUUUGAGGCCACGCUCUUUCCCUCAGGGGACAGUGAGGUGCGUUGUCCAUGGCACCGAUGGGUUUUUCUCUGGGUAGCAGGAGGUUCCACAAUUCCCCAGCCCCAUUUCCUUUUAAGUCAUUCUGGUUAUCAUUUCAGUUGAAAGAAUUGGAGCUACUUUUCACUUGGGAGAACAUAAUAAAAAUCACUUAUUCAGUACUAAAUUAGGAUGGACAGCCUUUCUCUUGGGAAGAAAAGCAAUAACAGAUCACAAUAAUGAGAUUGUGCAACAAGCUUUGAAAAUGCUUAUACUACAUUUAUAUGAAACAGUAUUUGCUUACACUUCAGAUAUGGCUGUCGAUUUAUGGUUCAGAGCCAUGGAGCAGGUAAUAAAUAUGACUGUGACAACUUUCUGAAAUCAUUUUUAUUACUUUUUAAAAAUAAAAAUACUAUUUGCUGUUCAAUUCCUAUUAAACUAUAGCUUCUAAAAUACUCAACUUUGGAUUUUCAAAAUCAAUUCUGGAAGGAUGUAGUCCAUAAUGCUAUAAUUCAUUUUUCAAAGUACAUAGCAUCACUGAUGCAGUGUGCUCUAAAAACUUGUGUUCCAAGCAUGAUAAUGAUUUUUAGUCCAUAUCAUUGAUAUUGACUUUACUAG